rnacentral:ncRNA from 3 species
CCUGCGGCUGGAUCACCUCCUUU